CCUACGGGAGGCAGCAGUGAGGAAUAUUGGUCAAUGGGCGGGAGCCUGAACCAGCCAAGCCGCGUGAGGGAAGAAGGUACAGCGUAUCGUAAACCUCUUUUGUCAGGGAACAAAGGCGGGGACUAGUCCCCGGAUGAGGGUACCUGAAGAAAAAGCAUCGGCUAACUCCGUGCCAGCAGCCGCGGUAAUACGGAGGAUGCGAGCGUUAUCCGGAUUUAUUGGGUUUAAAGGGUGCGCAGGCGGCCGGUUAAGUCAGCGGUAAAAGCCCGGGGCUCAACCCCGGCGCGCCGUUGAAACUGGCGGGCUGGAGUUGGAGAGAAGUACGCGGAAUGCGCGGUGUAGCGGUGAAAUGCUUAGAUAUCGCGCAGAACCCCGAUUGCGAAGGCAGCAUACCGGCUCCACACUGACGCUGAGGCACGAAAGCGUGGGUAUCGAACAGGAUUAGAUACCCGUGUAGUC
rnacentral:rRNA from 1 species